AUUGAACGCUGGCGGCAGGCCUAACACAUGCAAGUCGAACGAGUGGCGGACGGGUGAGUAAUGUCUGGGAAUCUGCCUGAUGGCGGGGGAUAACUACUGGAAACGGUAGCUAAUACCGCAUACCAUCAGAUGUGCCCAGAUGGGAUUAGCUAGUAGGUGGGGUAACGGCUCACCUAGGCGACGAUCCCUAGCUGGUCUGAGAGGAUGAACAGCCACACUGGAACUGAGACACGGCCCAGACUCCUACGGGAGGCAGCAGUGGGGAAUAUUGCACAAUGGGCGCAAGCCUGAUGCAGCCAUGCCGCGUGUAUGAAGAAGGCCUUCGGGUUGUAAAGUACUUUCAGCGAGGAGGCGUUACUGGCAGAAGAAGCACCGGCUAACUCCGUGCCAGCAGCCGCGGUAAUAC
rnacentral:rRNA from 1 species